rnacentral:rRNA from 1 species
CAACGCAGAGUUUGAUCCUGGCUCAGGAUGAACGCUGGCGGCGUGCCUAAUGCAUGCAAGUCGCACGGAGGCUUCGGCCCACCGUGGCGCACGGCUGAGGAACACGUGGGUGAUCUACCCCGGCGUGGGGGAUACCCCGGCGAAAGCCGGGACAAUCCCGCAUACGAUCCGAUCUCAUCGGAUGAAAGCGGUAACGCGCGCCGGGCGGAGCCUGCGGCCCAUCAGGUAGUUGGCGGGGUAACGGCCCACCAAGCCGGUGACGGG